UACGGAGGGGGCGAGUGUUGUUCGGAAUUACUGGGCGUAAAGGGCGCGCAGGCGGCCUGGCAAGUCGAGUGUGAAAUCCCUUGGCUUAACUAAGGAAUGGCGCUCGAAACUGCCUCGCUGGAGGGCGGGAGAGGGAAGUGGAACUCUCGGUGUAGGGGUGAAAUCUGUAGAUAUCGAGAGGAACACCGGUGGCGAAGGCGGCUUCCUGGCCCGUACCUGACGCUGAGGCGCGAAAGCGUGGGGAGCAAACAGG
rnacentral:rRNA from 1 species